AACACAUAACCUGCAAGAUGCUUCAUAUCUGGUCCAGAGUGACUUCUCUUCUCUUCUCUUGAAACCCUAAACAGAAGUCGUCUAGGGUUUGGGGGAGAAGAGGAUUGGAACGACAGGGUAGUGCACGAGAGAGACAUGCCGUUUGGAAUUGUCCGACAGGGGUUGUAGCUGAAAUCGCUUAUCCACAUGCUCCAAGCAUUGAAUUUUCUGAAAAUGUAGGCAUGAAAUCCCACAUCGGAAGCAGAAAUGAUGGUGCAAACAAGAGCGACUUAAAAUGGGCUCUGAGUCUCAUUUGGAACAUACUUACCUGGACGGGGUCAAUGGGUGAUCAUGUAGGCCCAUGGCCUAGGUCAGUGACCUCCAUUGCACCUUGGAGGGGUGCUGCCCUAAGGUCUCCCCAUUGAGGGAGAGCCUACGUCGUAAUUUGUGUCAGUGGGGGCCUGCGUUCGCGCGGCCCCUAC